UACGUUCGUUGGGUAGGGGAGCGUUCUGUAAGCCUGUGAAGGUGUGUCGUGAGGCAUGCUGGAGGUAUCAGAAGUGCGAAUGCUGACAUAAGUAACGAUAAAGCGGGUGAAAAGCCCGCUCGCCGGAAGACCAAGGGUUCCUGUCCAACGUUAAUCGGGGCAGGGUGAGUCGACCCCUAAGGCGAGGCCGAAAGGCGUAGUCGAUGGGAAACGGGUUAAUAUUCCCGUACUUGGUGUUACUGCGAAGGGGGGACGGAGAAGGCUAUGUUGGCCGGGCGACGGUUGUCCCGGUUUAAGCGUGUAGGUGUGUGUUCCAGGUAAAUCCGGUUCACUUUAACACUGAGGCGUGACGACGAGGCACUACGGUGCUGAAGCAACAAAUGCCCUGCUUCCAGGAAAAGCCUCUAAGCAUCAGGUAACACGAAAUCGUACCCCAAACCGACACAGGUGGUCAGGUAGAGAAUACCAAGGCGCUUGAGAGAACUCGGGUGAAGGAACUAGGCAAAAUGGUGCCGUAACUUCGGGAGAAGGCACGCUGACACGUAGGUGAAGUGAUUUACUCAUGGAGCUGA
rnacentral:rRNA from 1 species